AAUUACAUAGUAUCAGUUGAAAUGUCGAAGAUGAACAAGAUCACAGCCUGCUUUCUUUUGAUCACUAUAUUCUUUCUCAGUGUGGAGUGCAGUGACCAUGUCCCUCUCAACUCUCACAAUUCAGGUACUCAUUUUUUUAAACAUUAUUUCUAUUUUAUUAUUUGUAAGAAUGCAAUGCGGUGGAUGAAUUGGAUUGACUUUUGUAACUCAUUUUUUAAUGAAUUUUUGUUACUAAGGAAUAGAAGUGAGUAAAACAAGGACAUUCGAAUCUCCGACUUGUAAAUCUUUCUGGAGAUUUAUUGACCCCGGAUGCAAGGUUGACGAAUGCAGCGAAAAAUGUCAAAAGAAGGCGCCGCAACGAA
rnacentral:lncRNA from 1 species